CAUUCAGACCUCUUCACACUCAGACCCCUUCACAUUCAGACCCCUUCUCACUCAGACCCCUUCUCACUCAGACCCCUUCACACUCAGACCCCUUCACAUUCAGACCUCUUCACACUCAGACCCCUUCACACUCAGACCUAUUUUUCAUUGUGUUGUUGACAUUGAGAGUUGUGGUGCAAGGCAGGAGUUCAACCCCAGAGCCACAGAGUCCACAGUACCUGCAUGGCCACAGAGUCCACAGUACCUGCAUGUCCACAGUACCUGCAUGGCCACAAGCUGGAGCUCUGGAUUAAUACUGUACCUCAAGGAAAAUGUGUUCAAGGCUUAUAUAAACCUCUUUUAACUGAUUGUACAAUGUGGGGCCAGUUUUGGAGCCUGUAACUGUUGCACCCAGUGUUCAAGGGUUUUCUGUCUAACACAACAGUCACUACAUGUACGUGUGUGUGUGUUUAGCCUGUCAGCAGGACAGUCAUUCCCAGUGCCACGUCAGACCGUGGCUUCGACAGAGCAGGAAUAACAGGUGAGUUUAUCUAGAUGCGAUGUCGUCAUCCUGUCCUGGAAAUUCCAGAAGAGAACAGGAACAUUCGAACAGGGACACAGGGUUCUAAAUUCUCCCACUGACAACACACAGACCAUUGUAACCACAGGUGGAAUACAUUUGAACAGGAACACAGGGUUCUAAAUUCUCCCACUGACAACAAAGAUCAUCGUAACCACAGGUGCAAUACAGUUUUUUGGGGGAACCAUUAAACAAAUAGUUGGUUUAAAAUGUUGGCUAAACCUAUGCCAAGUAUUGGACUUACACUUCUGCAUUGUGAUGCCUCCCAAACCUCCAGAAUAGAUAGAGAAUCCAAAAAGGAGAUGUAGGAAAUGCAAUUUAUUAGCAAUUUUUUAAUAACAUAAUUCCUCAGAUAAAAAUGCAAUGUUACAGGAAUAUACAUCAGAUUAAUUUAAAACUUGCUUUCAAGGACCGUACAGUCUAAAUAUAUUUGUCAUGUUUUAUUUACUGGUAGCGUGCGUUAUAAGCAAGACAGACUCUGUCACCAAAGACAGACUGACAUUAACAGAUACAAACUGUACAUCACUUAUAUACAAAUCAACUUUUUAUUUCGUUUUUUUUCUUCAGUUAUUUUGAAAAUAGAAGUAGAAAAAGUGAUUGAAUAUUCAGAUUUGUAUUUAUUGUAUUCCUUCUCUUUAAAAAUUGGUUUAAAUGAAAGAAUGAAACAAGAAAUUAAAAAUAAAGUAAUAGAAUUGUUUUUCUUUAUAGAAAAUAAAAAAAGUACGAUUUGAGGGAAUGGGCGGUAAUGUCUGUUGGUGAGACCAUGCAGACUUGUCAUUCAAAGGAGAAAAGUGGGCUCGGAUUUGGGCAAGUCCACUCAACAACUCCCCCAAAACUAGUCGAACCCCUUACAUGAAGUGAGUGACUGUCUCUGAGCAUGAGGAGAUUGAUACAAAACAAGAUGGCUGCCUCCAAAGCUACCAUAAUGCACAAUACACAUUCUAGUUCAUUUUAAUGACCAUAAAUAGUGCUGUUCUUCUUAAAAUACUACAUUUAACAGUAGUGCCACUACUAAUAUCACAAAAAA
rnacentral:lncRNA from 13 species